rnacentral:rRNA from 1 species
GACGGAGGAUGCAAGUGUUAUCCGGAAUCACUGGGCGGUAAAGCGUCUGUAGGUGGUUUAAUAAGUCAACUGUUAAAUCUUGAGGCUCAACCUCAAAAUCGCAGUCGAAACUAUUAGGCUAGAGUAUAGUAGGGGUAAAGGGAAUUUCCAGUGGAGCGGUGAAAUGCGUAGAGAUUGGAAAGAACACCGAUGGCGAAGGCACUUUACUGGGCUAUUACUAACACUCAGAGACGAAAGCUAGGGUAGCAAAUGGG